CCCAAAUCAUGCAUUUCUCUCCAAAAAUACCCCAUUAACCCCAAAAGCACACAUUUUCUCCUCAGAAAUCCCCCUUUUAACCCCCAAAUCACACAUUUUCUCUUGGAAAAUCCCCCAUUUACCCCAAAAUCAUGCUUUAUCUCUUCAAAAAUACCCCAUUAUCCCCCAAAUCACACAUCUUCUCUAGGAAAAUCCCCCAUUUAACUCGGAAAUCACACUUUUGCUCUUCAAAUAUCCCCCAUUUGACCCCAAAAUCAAACAUUUUUGCUACAAGAAUCCCCCAUGUAUCCAAAAAAUCACGCAUUUCCUCUUCAAAAAUCCCCCAUUUAACCAGAAAUCACACUUUUGCUCUUCAAAUAUCCCCCAUUUGACCCCAAAUCAAACAUUUUUGCUACAAGAAUCCCCAUGUAUCCAAAAAAUCACGCGUUUCCUCUACAAAAAUCUCACAUGUAAACGAAACUCAUGCAUUUCCUCUUCAAAAAUCCCCCAUUUAACCAGUAGAAAAUGCAAUUUCUCUUCGAGAAUCCCCCAUUGAACCCGAAAAUGAUGCAUUUUCUCUUCAAGAAUCCCUGAUUCAUCCCGAAUAUCACACAUUUUCUCUUCAAAAAUCUCCCAUGUAACCUGAAAAUCACGCAUUAUCUCUACGAAAAUCACACAUUUAAUGCAAACAUCAGGCAUUUUCUCAUUGAGAUCCGCGAUUUAACUGAAAAUCACACAUUUCUCUUGAAAAAUCCCCCUAUUUAACCCGAAAAUCACGCCUUUUCUUUGCAAAUAUCCCCCACUUAACACAAAAAUCAUGCCUUUUCUCUAUGAAAAUCCCCCAUCUAAAAAAAAUCAUGCAUUUUCGUUUGGAAAAUCCCCCAUUUAAGUGAAAAUCGCACAUUUUGGCUUCGAAAACCCCCAAUUUAACCUGAAACGAAGCAUUUCCUCUUCGAAAACCCCCCAUUUACCCGAAAAUCAUGCAUUUUCCCUUCCAAAAUACCCCAUUUAAACAAAAAUCACACAUUUUCUCUUUCAGAAUCCCUGAUUUAAACUGAAAAUCACGCAUAUUCUCUACAAAACUUGCUGUUUAAACCAAAAAUUGCGCGUUUUCUCUUCAACAAUCCCCGUUUAACCCCAAAAUCACGCAUUUUCUCUUGGAAAACCCCCAUUUAACUCAAAAACCUCACCUUUUCUCUUGGAAAAUACGCAUUUACCCCCAAAUCAUGCAUUUUCUCUCCAAAAAUACCCCAUUAACCCCAAAAGCACACAUUUUCUCCUCAGAAAUCCCCCUUUUAACCCCCAAAUCACACAUUUUCUCUUGGAAAAUCCCCCAUUACCCCAAAUCAUGCUUUAUCUCUUCAAAAUACCCCAUUAUCCCCCAAAUCACACAUCUUCUCUAGGAAAAUCCCCCAUUUAACUCGGAAAUCACACUUUGCUCUUCAAAUAUCCCCCAUUUGACCCCAAAAUCAAACAUUUUUGCUACAAGAAUCCCCCAUGUAUCCAAAAAAAUCACGCGUUUCCUCUACAAAAAUCUCACAUGUAAACGAAACUCAUGCAUUUCCUCUUCAAAAAUCCCCCAUUUAACCAGUAGAAAAUGCAAUUUCUCUUCGAGAAUCCCCCAUUGAACCCGAAAAUGAUGCAUUUCUCUUCAAGAAUCCCUGAUUCAUCCCGAAUAUCACACAUUUUCUCUUCAAAAAUCUCCCAUGUAACCUGAAAAUCACGCAUUAUCUCUACGAAAAUCACACAUUUAUGCAAACA
rnacentral:lncRNA from 7 species